rnacentral:rRNA from 1 species
GACGAACGCUGGCGGCGUGCCUAAUACAUGCAAGUAGGACGCAGUUGCGAACGGGUGAGUAACGCGUAGGUAACUACCUAUUAGAGGGGGAUAACUAUUGGAAACGCUAUCUAAUACCGCAUACUAGUAGAUGGACCUGCGUUGUAUUAGCUAGUAGGUUGGUUCAUGGCCUACCUAGGCAACGCUACAUAGCCGACCUUAGAUGUGGAUCGGCCACACGGGGACUGAGACACGGCCCAGACUCCGACGGGAGGCAGCAGUAGGGAAUCGUCGGCAAUGGGGGGAACCCUGACCGAGCAACGCCGCGUGAGGGAAGAAGGUUUUCGGAUCGUAAAGCUCUGUUGUUAAGGAAGCGGUACUUAACCAGAAAGGGACGGCUAACUACGUGCCAGCCGCAGCGGUAAUUC